rnacentral:rRNA from 1 species
UGAGGAAUAUUGGUCAAUGGGCGCGAGCCUGAACCAGCCAAGUAGCGUGCAGGAUGACGGCCCUAUGGGUUGUAAACUGCUUUUAUGCGGGGAUAAAGUGAGGGACGUGUCCCUUUUUGCAGGUACCGCAUGAAUAAGGACCGGCUAAUUCCGUGCCAGCAGCCGCGGUAAUACGGAAGGUCCGGGCGUUAUCCGGAUUUAUUGGGUUUAAAGGGAGCGCAGGCGGUCUUAUAAGCGUGACGUGAAAUGCAGCGGCUCAACCGUAUGAUGUGCGUCGCGAACUGUGAGACUUGAGUGUAUUCGAUGUCAGCGGAAUUUGUGGUGUAGCGGU